rnacentral:rRNA from 1 species
UACGGGGGGGGCAAGCGUUGUUCGGAAUUACUGGGCGUAAAGGGCUCGUAGGCGGCCAACUAAGUCAUACGUGAAAUCCCUCGGCUUAACCGGGGAACUGCGUCUGAUACUGGAUGGCUUGAGUUCGGGAGAGGGAUGCGGAAUUCCAGGUGUAGCGGUGAAAUGCGUAGAUAUCUGGAGGAGCACCGGUGGCGAAGGCGGCAUCCUGGACCGAUACUGACGCUGAGGAGCGAAAGCCAGGGGAGCAAACGGG